CGCGGUGUAGCUCAAUUGGUUAGAGCGUCCGGUUGUCUGCCGGAAAGUUGCGAGUUCGAGUCUCGUCACCGUGG
rnacentral:tRNA from 1 species